rnacentral:rRNA from 1 species
UACGAGAGGUGCAAGCGUUAUUCGGAAUUAUUGGGCGUAAAGGGUGCGUAGGCGGCAUAUUAAGUCAACUGUUAAAUUUCCCGGCCUAACUGGGAUGAUGCGGUAGAUACUGAUGUGCUUGAGGAUGAAAGAGAGAAGUGGAAUUCUCGGAGUAGCGGUAAAAUGCGUAGAUCUCGAGAGGAACACCAAUGGCGAAGGCAGCUUCUUGGUUCAUUUCUGACGCUGAUGCACGAAAGCGUGGGGAGCAAACAGG